rnacentral:lncRNA from 1 species
GACAAUUUCAACUUGGAUUAAUAAUUCUUCUAUGGGUAAACGUGUGUUGGUAUAUACUUCUGUGAUGUUUUAGUUCUGUGAUAGCACUUUUCCCCAUUGCUUUUUUAAUUUCUGAUUUUUUUCCGAUGUAUAAUAUUUUUUGUUCAUUGAUGUUUUUCUUAACAAUUUUACUUGGUUUUUUUUUCAGCAAUUGAUUGAGGGUAAUAUAGCAAAAAAAAAGCGUCGUUUUGCCAUGGGGCAAGCACUCAAGCGAGGACAAGAAUUAAGACGGUAUUUUUAACGAAAUUAAUGCAAGUUACCAUGUCACGGCAAUUCGGUAAUUUUUAACUAAAUUAUCGCAAGUUACGAUGUCACGGCAAUUUGGUAAUUUUUAACGAAAUUUUUGCAUGUUGCCAUGUCACGGCAAUUUGGUAAUUUUUAACGAAAAUAUUGCAUGUUGCCAUGUCACGAAGUGGUAAUUUAGCUAUUUUGACGAAAUUGUCGCGUGUUAUCUGACACGGAUUGACAAUUUGACCGUCUUGACGAAAUUUUCGCAUGCCAGUAACCAUUACACAGAGUGUCAAAUUGGCCAUUUCAGAAUCUAAAACAAUGUAUGGGUUAUUUUAUUGUUUUCACAACAAAAUGAUAAUAAAGUUGUGCCAUUAGCUAAAUUUCUAUUAUUUCGGACCUUAUUUAACCAAUCACGACGUGUUGGUGUUCACGUUUGAAAAUAUUACCCAGAAUGCAUUGUAUUUAGAAACGGCAAAUAAUAGUAUUUUUUGUGUUGUGUGCAUGUACAUUUAGUGUUCUUUUUAAUCGAGUGCUCAGAUAAUUGAGGUAUGCGUUUAAAUGCAGCAGUAUGCACUUUCUGCUGUCUUCGUUGUUCUGUGUGCUUUUAAAUAGCAGAAAUGCAUUGCAUUGUGUAUAACGUUUGACAGAAUUUAUUAUGGUUUUAUUUCAAAAAAAGGCUGCAGGUUAUGUAAAUAGCAUUAAAACAGUUGUCUUGUAAUCUUCAACCCUGAUAUCGAUGGUCAUGCAUGCUAUAGUAAAUUCUUUGCCAUCGUUUGAUUAAAAAAACAUUAUAUUCACGUGGUGUUUUUUGCAUGGAAGUCAGCAAGGAAUGCUAAAUCUACAGUUAUUUCGUCUUGACCAUCAGUCACAAAUUUCGUGUUUUAUAGUCCUUUAAAUGGGUUUACUUAUUUCCGCAAUUUUUAAAAAAUUAAAGCUUUUGAAAUUAAUGUAUUUUUCUUAGAGUCCUUAGAAUUGUUUAGAAAUUCAGAUUAAAGGGAUACCCAACACUUUGAAAUGAAUAAAUUUGGAUAGUUUACUUGUCAUACAUUUUUAUGACAAAAUCAGGAAAAAAUCCAAUAGAUAUAUAUCUAUAUAUCAAUAUAACAAAGACUUAUUCUGACCUAUUCUGACCACUGAGAAGCUUCAUUUCUCUUUACUAAUUAUAGUAAGUGAUUUAAAAAAUACGUUCAAUUGAUUUUUAAAGAGUUAACCCCCAUAUAUUGUGCCCCCUUAAUCUACUUGCAGAAGUCAUACGAAUAUUUGCAUUAGAAAUCAAAGGAUAAUGAAUGUAUUCAUAAUGUGUAUUAGAUAACUGUUCGAACUUGUAUAAUUUGCAAAAGGAAUACAGAACAUUAGACAUGUGCUUCUCACACAGCUCGUUUGAGUUGGUUUUAGCAUCAUAAACAACUUUAUUAGAAACGCUGUGACGAGUUUGCGGAAUCAUUAAUGUCAAUUAGUCUCUUAUUAGUAACAGAACCCUAGUUACAAUAGAUAAAAGAGCACGAAGUCCUUCUUAAUUUCGUCAUAUAUAGCCGUCUCAUAUCUAUUCGUAAUCAGAUACACAAUUUUGAGGGAAAUCAUAUGCGGCAACUUCCGUCAACACCAUAACUCGCAAGUGUGAAUGUUGUAACUAAGAAUUAACGAUUUUGGAUUCGCUAAUUUAUAUACAUUUUUUUCAUGACUUUUUCUUUUGAUUGAUUUUCACAUUGUUUUGUAGGACAUCUUCUCAUAUUUUUUUCCGAUCCAGGAUAAGGGAUUUUUAACCUACAUGUAUUAACCUAACAAAAGUUACUGCUACCAUUUGCGUCCACAGCUUUUAUGUAUAUAUUUUCUCAGUUAUAGAAAUUACAACUGUAAUUCUGACAUCAUUGCUCGAAAAGACGACUUGCAACUGCUAUGAGUUAACACAGUUUGGACAUUUUUAAGGCAAAAGUCAACCUGAGUUUGCGAACUUCUUAAAUGGUUUGAUAUAUCUGAUGGAGAAUUGUGGAGCAGGAUCUGCUUACCAUUCCGUAGCACCUGAGAUCACCCCAGUUUUUUAGUGGAGAUCGUGAUGCUUAUUCUUUAGUUUUCUAUGUUGUGUCAUGUGUACUAUUGUUUGUCUGUUUGUCUUUUUCAUUUUUAGCCAUGUCGUUGUCAGUUUACAAAUGUAUUUUCAAUUUAUCAGUUUGACUGUCCCUCUGGUAUCUUUCGUCCCUCUUUUGUCCUCAUUUUGUAUACACAUAUGCUACCACAGUUGACAGAAUGGCUCAAAACAUUCAUUUAAAAUAAGAUGCUAGUAUUUUUCACUUACUUUGAUAUUCUUAAACACCUCACAGCAAAACAAGUUUCAUUUAACUGAUCAGAUGUGAAUACAAUUUUAGCUGUUACACAGCUACUUUUGCAUAGGUACUAUUUCUGUACUUAUAAUCUGUAGUACUGGAAAUGUACUUUUGAUAUUUAGUACUAUUUCUUUACUUUAAAAUUAUUGUAAUAUUUAGGUACCUGUAUUUUACCAUGUUUACAGUACUUGAUUUGUACUUGAAAUGUUGGUACAGAAAUAAUACAAACAGUGAUCACUAUAUUCAAUGCAUGUUGAAAAUCAUAAAUGUAAGAGAUUUGAAAUAGACAAACUUUCAAAAAGCUGAAAAUGUAACGGUGUAGCCAAAAAUAUGUAAUACAAACUAGUACUAAAUAUUGAAGGUAGAUUUCCAGUAUUACAGACUUUUGGUACAGAAAUAGUACCUAUGCAAAAGUAGCUGUUUAGUAUUACAGCUUGAAAUCUGAUUUUGAAAUUGUGUUAUCGGAUUUGUAGGUACCUUUAGGUGCAUUGACAGGUCAGUACAUGUUAUAAAAUUAUACGUUUUUCUAGACGAGAUUAUUUGUGUGUAGACUGGCAAACUAAUUUUUUUAACUCACUGAUUGAAUGCUCGUCUAGAGGGAAGGUUGAAAUUGCGAGUCAGUUGUCUAAUGAACACACGAAUAACUAGACACAGAAUUGUUUAACUAAUUCUAUAAUUCUCAAACCAAACAUUUGUUAAUUUUUAUUGAAUUUUCUCCUUUUCGAAAACCCUUAGGAUUCUAUGCAUCGCGCAUGAAUUUAUCAUAAUUUAAACGAGACAUUGUUUACACUGGUAACAAAAGUAGUUCACUUAAAAUGUAUUUCGAAGUGCAUACCAAGGAAGGUAACUCAUGUUAAUAAGAAUCAAAUCUUGUAGAAUUAUGAAUGAAAUAACUUCAGUUAAUUGUGAUAGCGAUACAAUGGCUUUCAUUAUCUUAUUUUGGAAAGGGGGUUUGACAGAAGAUUUAUGUUGACAUGAUGUCGUGUUAAUUAGGAAAUAAAAAUAUCAAACAUGCGCAAGAAAUGAAGAAAUUGAAUAUCCUCUCCCUUACCCCCCUCCCAAAAAAAAAAGAAAAAUUGCCUGGUAUUAAAGUAAUGGCUGCAAAUUGCAAAUACAUUUUCGCGCGUGUUUUCACUAAACUUCUAUCCACUGUCAUAGUUUCGUCAAGAAACGCAAACCCUCCUUCCCUCUGAUGAGCAAAUGUUUGCUUUUCUCAUUUACUUUUCAGAUAGUAUGUUUAAACAGAUACCAAUGUAUUAACAGUAGUGUUACAAUUGUCUGGUAACAUCAACAACGGCAGAAUUGUUUUAUCGACAGAGACAAUACACCUGAUCGCUAUAGAUUUGUCCGUUACUGGAUUUCACACAGGUUCACACAGGUUCCCUUAAAAUGUUGACGUCAUAAUACAAAAUAUCUGACACCACAAUGGAAAACUGUUUGUCGUUUGACGUCAAUAGUUCAAGCGGUACAGAAUCUCGGGUCAGCCUGGAAUAACGAUAAGGUCACGGUGCCAGAUUGAGGGGACCAAAGUUCCUCUUAUGGAGCAACACAUUUUCUCGAACGUUUACUAGUCUGAGAAAACGGGGAUUCCCCUUUGUUCAAAAUCCUCGGUCUCCAUCUGAUUAGGUUGGUACCCUCCGUAAAACAUUCAGUAUGCCUUCGGAAUAUACAAAUAUUAUUGUCAAGAAUUUCAAUAACGGCCGGGAAACAGACUACCAUCUGAUCAAUGCAGAAAACACAAAAAGAGUUUUUCGAAUUUUGUGUGUAGACAUUUGUCUCCUGCACUUCAAGACAAUCAGUUGACAUAAUAAGUCAUUGGAUAUCUAAACCAACAUAAUAAAUUUAGCAGUGAUUUAUUCACGUGUUUUGUUUCCAUUUGAUGUGGAUCUGCCUAUAUGUAAGCUAGGA